UGCGUACUCUAUAGGUCUCCAUCUUGCUUGGUUUUCUUCGACGGAUAGGCAACGUUUUGAACCCCUAAAUAUCUCAUUUUGACCGAUGCAUCAUGUCUCAGAGACCCGUUCAUGAUAUUUCUUAACACGCAAAGAGUCAUUUUUGCCAAGAAUUUAUUUGCAAACGGUUUGUAAUUUGUGUUUUGGAUCCAUGGAAAUCAUAGAAACGGCAGUUUCGGCAGACUGCCAGACUGCGUUCAGAGCGACGACAUUCGGCCCAUCUGAUAAUGUGUCGCUGCAUAGGUAAACGAGACACCAGGACACAUGUAAGCUGCAUUGGUGGGGAACGUAAGCCAAUUAAGUGUCUGGCAAGGCAUGCAUCAUAUCACGUCCAUGGGAGAUGUGGGAAGGAUGGCAGCACAGGUAUGCGAUUGUGGGAGUGGUGUGGAACCCUGAAGCCACCAUCAUAAAACUUCAUGGCAUCAAUCCAGAGUGUCCUCAUCUUCAAUCAGGCUGACAGGAACCCAAUCUACUGAACUUCACCCUCCAUUAACCUUGGUCACAAAGCUUAAGAGGGUACUAGAAUUACAAGGUACAUGUAGCUAUACGUGUAAAUCAUUAUAACUCUAACCCCUGGGUAUUUUUACUAGACUGCUAGAAAGUAUUCUGAAUCCACCAAUCUACCUAUUGUGUCAUGCAUGCAAAUGUUGGCAUUGUUGACUGCUCAGUAUGGAGGUGUCCUGAAUCCAUCGAUAUUCUGCGGUACUGCUAGCCUUACAAUCCUCAAUCCAUCUAAAUUCCCCUGUUUUAGGUACGUAUUGUAGCUGAAUCCGGCCGCCGAAAUACUCCAAAACAGGUGAAUGGAUUUUGAUGGAUCCAGAGUGGUAAUAGGGUUAAGUUGCAUGGUCUCAGCUAACAAUAUUUUCCAAUUAUUCCUUUACCAGCGGGACAAUUCUAGUGUCAAAAGCUGAAGAAUUUUGGAAGCUGGUGUUACAAAUUAAUAAAAAUUUAGUCACUAGUAUCCAUAAUUUUGAUUGGAUCAGUGGGUGAAAAGAGAUCAGAUUUUUGAACAGAUAUCAGCUUGAUGCAUUUUCAAUGAAAAAAAAAGGCAGGCUGAUUUUGUGUUUCUUUUUUAUUCCUCUCAAAGAUUGUUGAAUGCCUCUUGUGAGAACAAUAAGAGGAACACAAGGAUACACAUUCAGGUUGCUAACAGGCGACGGCCAUCAUCUUUGUCCUGGUCUUCUACGACAUGUCCAUUUUCCAGAGGCCUAGGAUGGACGUUAGGAUCAUCCAUGCUCAUCGAAGAGUAGCUUCUUUCAACCUCUCUGCCAUCUGCCUGGCAUGCCUGGGAGGGACGCCAAAGCACAUGGCUACUGAGGACGGCAAAGCACAUGGCAACUGAGAAGGUCGGAAGCCAGAGGUCGGAGCUGAUGUCCAAGCUCUGACGAAGCUGACGUGUGAUAGGAGAGGUCCUGGAUGCUGACUGUGCCUAGCUAUAUAGGUUUUCAUCAGUAACCCAGAUGCUGCUUUUGAUGCCGAAAUGCCGUGAAUCUGCACCACUUAUCAGGU